CUGAAAAAGAAAAUGCGAGAAUUUCGGGUUAAAUGGAAGAUUUUCGAAGAGAAAACGCAUGAUUUUCGCUUAAAUGGGGGAUUUCCGAAAAAAAAAAAAGUGAGAUUUUUGGGCUAAAUGCAAGAUUCUUGAAGAGAAAAAUGCGUGAUUUUCGCUUAAAUGGGGGACUAACCAUGAGAAAAUGGUUGAUUUCCAGGUGAAAUGGUAGACUUUUGAAGAGAAAACGCGUGAUUUUCGGGUUAAAAAGGGGAUUCUAGAAGAGAAAAAAUGUGAUUUUCAGGUAAAAUGGGGGAUUUUCAAUAAGAAAACGCGUGAUUUUCGCUCAAAUGGGGGAUUUGCGAAGAGAAAACGCGUGAUUUUAGAGUAAAAUGGGGGAUUCUCGAAGAGAAAACGCGUGAUUUUUGAUUAAAUGGGGGAUUUGCGAAGAGAAAACGCGUCAUUUUCGAGUUAAAUGGGGGAUUUGCGAAGAGAAAACGCGUCAUUUUCGAGUUAAAUGGGGGAUUUGCAAAGAGAAAACGCGUCAUUUUCGAGUUAAAUGGGGGAUUUGCGAAGAGAAAACGCGUGAUUUUCGCUUAAAUGGGGGAUUCUUGAAGAGAAAACGAGUGAUUUUCGGUUAAAUGGGGGAUUUGCGAAGAGAAAACGCGUGAUUUUCGCUUAAAUGGGGGAUUUGCAAAGAGAAAACGCGUCAUUUUCGAGUUAAAUGGGGGAUUUGCGAAGAGAAAACGCGUGAUUUUCGCUUAAAUGGGGGAUUCUUGAAGAGAAAACGAGUGAUUUUCGGGUUAAAUGGAAGAUUUCUGAAGAGAAAGCGUAUGAUAUUCGGGUUAAAUGAGGGAUUCUCGAAGAGAAAACACGUGUUUUUUAGUUAAAUGGGGUAUUAGCGAAGAGAAAACGCUUGAUUUUCAGUUAAAUGGGGGAUUCUCAAAAAGAAAACGUGAUUUUCGAGUUAAAAGGUGGAUUUGCAAAGAGAAAACGCGUGAUUUUCGGGUUAAAUGGGGGAAUCUCGAAGAGAAAACGCGUGAUUUUUGCUUCAAUGGGCGAUUUCCGAAGAGAAAACGCGUGAUUUUCGUUAAAUGGGGGAUUUGCGAAGAGAAAACGCGUGAUUUUCGCUUAAAUGGGGG
ensembl:lncRNA